ACGAACGCUGGCGGCGUGCCUCAUACCUGCAAGUCGAGCGGACGAAUCGAAAGCUUGCUUUUGAUUCGUUAGCGGCGGACGGGUGAGUAACACGUGGGCAACCUGCCCUGUAGACGGGGAUAACACCGAGAAAUCGGUGCUAAUACCGGAUAACACGAAAUGUCGCAUGACGUUUCGUUGAAAGACGGCGCAAGCUGCCGCUACAGGAUGGGCCCGCGGCGCAUUAGCUAGUUGGUGAGGUAACGGCUCACCAAGGCGACGAUACGUAGCCGACCUGAGAGGGUGAUCGGCCACACUGGGACUGAGACACGGCCCAGACUCCUACGGGAGGCAGCAGUAGGGAAUCUUCCGCAAUGGACGAAAGUCUGACGGAGCAACGCCGCGUGAGCGAAGAAGGCCUUCGGGUCGUAAAGCUCUGUUGUUAGGGAAGAACAAGUAACGCAGUAACUGGCGUUACCGUGACGGUACCUAACGAGAAAGCCACGGCUAACUACGUG
rnacentral:rRNA from 1 species